GGGUUAGUAGGUUGGUCAUGCCACUGGUAUGUACUGAUCUUACUGAUUCCUCCUUCCUGAUGAACCGUAAUGCCAUUAAUUUGGUGUUGCGGGGAGACUGGACUGUUACUUUGAAAAAAUUAGAGUGUUUAAAGCAGGCAUUCGCUUGAAUACAUUAGCAUGGAAUAAUGAAAUAGGACGUUUGAUCUUAUUUUGUUGGUUUCUAAGAUCGACGUA
rnacentral:rRNA from 1 species